GGGAAUGUAGCUCAGUGGUAGAGCACUUGCUUAGCAUGUGUGAGGUCGUGGGUUUGAUCCCUAAUACUACCA
rnacentral:tRNA from 1 species